UAAUUUCAGAUAUCAACAACAUCAGAUGUCUUCUUAACUUCCUUAUCGGAAAUCAAAACCAGAGGAUCAUUUAACGAUCAUAAUUUAACCAGGAAAUCAAAGCCAUUUGACGAUCAUACAUUAACCAGGUGGCCACUUUAUAUUUUAUUUCAACAGAAGCCCAAAGCAACAAUUAAAAUUUAACAAUAAGUUAUAUACAUGGGAAGUACUGAUGGUAAAAUUCAUGACUUGUAACCUGUAAUAAACCAUCUUCAACAGAUUUAUUCAAAUACUUAAUUAUUGUAAUACAAAAAUGGGAUAAUGACUAAAAUAAUAAUUAAUUUCUCAAAAGCUACAUUUCUUAAAUUAUGUAAAUUUUCGUCAUUGAUCCCCAUUUAAACACGGUCUAGUUAUUCGUUAACUUUAUAUUGACAGUUUUCACACAAAAGUUAUCUUAACUGGAAGAAGAAUAACUACCGGUUAAACGAUAACUCAAGGUGGUGAAAAUGGGGGUAAAUAAAAAUA